CUGAGACCUUUAACCCCCUGUUGUGAGACAAAAAGAAAAUGUCCCCCACAGGUCCGCGGAUGCACAGUAUUGGACACCUUGAAGUUCAGCCCAUCGAGUUCACUCCCGCUGGCUGCGGUGUGAGAGCUGCACGCCGGAUGGUGAGAAUGAGACGACACGCUGCUGUAUUUUGGGGGACUUUGGAACAGCUCCCGAAGCCCGGGUCUUGAAGGCAUGGUCUGCCACUGGGUGCUAUUGGGAGGCGUGGGACCUUUAAGAGGCGGGGCUAGUGGGAGGAAGUGUGGUCAUGGGGGCGUGGUCUCGAGGGAACGGCUGGGUCACGGUCCCAUCCUGUCUUUUUUGCUCCCUGUCCUGGAGGGGAGCCGCCUUGUGUCACCACACGCUCCCCGCUGAUGUGCUGGGCAGGCACCAGCCCAAAGCACCCAGGGUUCCGACCGUGGACUGGAACUUCUCAAACCGUGAGCCAAAAUAAACCUUUCCUGUCUAAAAACUGA